UACGUAGGGUGCGAGCGUUGUCCGGAAUUAUUGGGCGUAAAGGGCUCGUAGGCGGUUUGUCGCGUCGGGAGUGAAAAUCCAGGGCUUAACUCUGGACUGGCUUCCGAUACGGGCAGACUAGAGGUAUGCAGGGGAGAACGGAAUUCCUGGUGUAGCGGUGAAAUGCGUAGAUAUUGGGAGGAACACCGGUGGCGAAGGCGGCCCCCUGGGCUGGUACUGACGCUGAUGCGCGAAAGUGUGGGGAGCGAACAGG
rnacentral:rRNA from 1 species